ACAAUAGUGGCUUAGUGGUAGAAUUGUCGUCUUCCACGCGGGAGACCUGGGUUUGAUUCCCAGCCAAUGCA
rnacentral:tRNA from 1 species